rnacentral:tRNA from 1 species
GGUUUUGGCUCAGUGGUAGAGUGCUUGCCUAGCACAUGUGGGGUGCUGGGUUCGAGCCUCAGUACCA